GGGGGGGUGAUGAAUAGAGGGGCUGCUGUCCUUGUUAAGUCUUCAAAGCAGAUCCUUUUUAUAAAAGGAGAUUAAAUUAUACUCCUGGUUUCAGUCUUCCAAUUAAUGGACAGAAAAUAAGGAAAAUUGUAGAAAAUAUGGUAGCUCUUCCAGUUAUGGAUAUAUAGUAUGGUGUAAGAUCACUACAAAAGGGAACUAAUUUCAUUUCAUUCUCUGAGUAGGAAGACCAUCAUACACACAAAUACAAACAUAUAUGUGAUAUGCAUUAAUAUUCCUAUAUUAUAUAAAAUUAUAAUAUUAAUAAUAUUAUUAAUUAACUUGUAAAAUCAACUAAAGUCUAGUACUCUUUCAAAAGGAUUAAACAAGACAAUUGACAAAACUAACAGAAUUACUCCAAAAACAUUAAAUUCAACUAUGAAAUGAAUAGAUUCACCCACCUGAUCAUAAAGACUAAACAUUAAAACCUAAUUUUUUUCACCUGAAAUUGUUACAUAUAAUGCAAUAGUUGGUAGUCUUCCACUCACUGCAAAAGUGAAAAGCAAAACAGAAUACAAGAUCUGCUAUUAGACAGUAAAAAAAGCUAACUAAUUUCAUUAAAUGAAAGGCACUGAUGCCAGAAACUGCAAUUCUGGACAUUAUGUGAGUAGUAUUAGUAAGAACAGUAAAAAAAAAAAAAUGCUGACAUAAAUAAUAAAUAUGUAGUAAGGAAUCAAAAGCACAUUUUUAAAAAAUGGCUUUAUUACCACAUUCCAAAACUAAUUCUUAAUGCACACAGUCUCUUUGAAGAGAAUUAUUGUCCUAAAUUUUAAAUUAAUUUUUAAUUAAAAAUAUGAUCAACUGUUUAAUAUUUCCAAAAUCAUUUCACACUUGUUUGAAUUAAAUUUGAUUGAUAAACAUGUUUCAGUGGUUAUGAAAAGGGUAGCUAUAAUGUCCUACAUUAUCUUAAUUGGAUGAGCAAUUUGAAUUGAUACAUUACACCUAGCAUAUUGUUUCAGGAUUUAUCUUGUUUCAGCAUUUCUAAUGAUUUAUUCCACUGCAGCACUUCAUGGAAUACUAGGCAAAUUAUUAGAACUACAAAUUGAUCAGUAUUUAUUUACAAGUACUUAACUUCAUCUACAUUCAUUAACCAAUACUACACAUUUAAAAUUUCAUGGGCUACCUACAUAAUAUUUUUAAUCAAAAUGAGUCAUCUUGUCUAAAAAAGAGGAUAAUGAGUUGAUUUUCAUCAUGAAUGCUUCCUCAUUCUUUUUUUUUUGCAUGUCAGAAUUUUUACAUCAAAAGUUACUAAUAUCAGAAACCUGUCGACAAUUCAAAUUCCUAAUUUAUCUUGAUUAAAUUAACUUUAAAAUUCAUUUCCAAAUGUUAAUUGUUUAUCAGAUAAUAUUAUUUGAAGACCUAUCUUUCUUUUUGCCUUUUCAUUUUCAAAUUUAUGUAAAUGCUCUCUUAAAUCGAUACUUAUCAAUCGACUUUAUUUACAUUUUCUUUUUUUUUUUUGGUAGCAUAAAGGAUCAUGGAGCUAUCCUUAAACUGCAUCUGGACAUGAUUCAAUAGCACAACUUUGAAGAAUUCUUUGUUUUGGGCAUCUUUAAAUGGUUUUGGAAACAGCUCAUUUACCCUUUGCAUUUGGGUUAAUCCUUCUUGCAUGGAAGUCUUUUAUGAGAAAUGAUCUAUUCAAUUUUUUCUUUUCUAUAUGAUUUUCAUUUUUGAGUUCCUUUAAUUCAUUGUUGGACUGCUUUAAUUCUGUGUUUUUUCCCCAAGUAAUGUCUUCGUUUUAAGGGAAUCAAGUAGUUGGUAGAUCUCAUCUUCAGCUUUAGAAAGCUGAAUUGACAGGAUGUCAAUCAUAUCUAUUGGUUGAUACUUUAAAAGAAGCCACUUAUCUCAUUCCAGCUGAAGGUUUAAUUUUGAUGUCUGAUUGAUUAAGUAGAGUAGAACUUCCACAAGAAGGGCAAUAAAUUUCUUUCUGUAGUUUUGCUCUGAUUUGUUUUUCAUCUUCCAAUCUAUAGUUCAGCAUCACAUUUGGACAAAAAAAAUUGCAAGUAAUUGAAAGAUUACUAAAAUGGAUUUUUUUUUUAAAUAGUCAAGAGGAAAUUCUGCAGGGAAUUUUGUGAGAGAUACUUUCAUUUUAAUUUUCAGGAAUCUUUUUUUAUUUAAUAGUUUUCCUAUUGUACUGUAUUUUUUAAAUGUCUUUAUUUUCAAAAUACAUGCAAAUAUAGUGUAACACCUAGCCAUGCAAAACCUUGUUUCUGAUUUUUUUUCUCCCUUCUGUUCCCCCACCCAUUCCCCUAGACAGUAAUCCAAUAUAUGUUAAAUUUGUGCAAUUGUUCUGUACAUAUUUCCACAUAUAUCAUGCUGUGUAAGAAACAAAUCAAAUCAAAAAGGGGAAAAAAUGAGAAGGAAAGAAAGACAAGCAAACAAGAACAACUUACAUUCAGUCCCCAGAGUGCUCUUUUUGAUGCAGAUGGUUCUCUCCAUCACAGAUCAACUGGAAUUAGUCUGAAUAAUUUUAUAUUGUUGAAAAGAGCCAAAUCCAUCAAGAUUAAUUUUUUUUACUUUUUAUGAUUUCUAUACCAAUAUUUCAAAUCCAGUACUAGUCAAAGCAUCUGCUUACAGUCUUGUUUUUACCACUAUUUUAAGGUUUGAAGAUGCAUGUUAAAUGGAGGUGUCUGAGAAUCAAGAAUCCUGCCUAUACUAUUCAUACUGAAGAAGACAAUUCUCUGGAGUGGUAAUCAGAGUUUGAAAUGAAAACUAAGCACUACAAUGAUCUAAUCUCAAAGGACUCAUGAUGAAAAAUGCUACCCACAUCCAGAGAAAGAACUGAUGAAGCCUGAAUGCAGGCCAAGGACAACACAUAACUCCCAUUUCCCAAAGCCACGCCCUUGUGCAGGGUGUCUUCUCAGCCUGGAGUGCACUGCUGCUUUCCUAAGCUCCCCCUCCAUUAGAAUUUCUUGUUUCUUUGAAAUUCUGCUUCAGUACCUUCUUCUACAGGAAGUUGCUGCUACUAAUUUCCUUUGAAAACCAUGUCCUGCUUCCUGCUCCAAAUUUCCAAGACUUUAUUGUAUUGUAUUUAUAUCCUGUAUUCUCGAAUGGAAUGUAAACUUCCUGAUGGCACUUGAUUUUUGUCUUAGAGCUUCAUACCCACUAGUCUCACACAAGGCACUUGAUAAAUAUAUGUUAAUUAAAGACUAUUUGUGCUUCAAAAAUAAUAUGAUGAAAUAAGAGUGAGCACUAAUUGGAAAUUAUUUCUGCCUCCAUAGAGUUCUCAAUUACAUUCUGCUUUUCGAUUCUUUAA